rnacentral:rRNA from 1 species
CCCUUAGAUGUUCUGGGCGGCCCGCGCACUACAUUGGCACUAGCAAAGAGAUCCUAGAUUGAAUUCUUUGGGGUAUUCUUCUAAAUGGUGUCGUGACUGGGAUAAAUCCUUGUAAUUAUUGGUUUUGAACGUGGAAUUCCUUGUAAUCGCGGUUUAUCAGCUCGCGUUGAAUGCGUCCCUGCCCUUUGUACACACCGCCCGUCGCUCCUACCGAUGGAUCGUCCGGUGAAGCUCACGGAGUGACUGUUCACGCAACGGUUUACGAAGUGAAAUGGACCUCACGAUUUAGAGGAAGGAGAAGUCGUAACA